GCCUUUGUAGCUCAGUGGUUAGAGCGUUUGUUUAGUAAACAAAAGGUCGUGGAUUCGAUUCCCACCUGAGGCU
rnacentral:tRNA from 1 species